rnacentral:misc_RNA from 1 species
UGGGAUUGGGAAACAUAGCUUGAUUAAGGUUACUUGUGCUAAGAAUAAGCUUUAUGCUCAUUUUGUGAAUGCACCAACCCCUGAUUGGAAUAGGGAUGAAGAAACAUUGAGGCAUCUCCAUGAGUCUUUCAAGACUGUUGGUUCAUUUUAGGGACAGUUCUAUACGCAUAUAUGAGAUGAAUUGAAGCUUAAUUGCUUGUUUUGACUGCACUCGAUCUAUAUAUAUAUAUAUAUGCAGAGGAACAAAUGAUUGGAAAGAAAGAAAAAUAUAUAAAUUAAAUUACACAAUUGCUUGAAAGGAAAAGAAAAUGAUAAUUGAUGAACAAUAUUCCAUCAUUAUCUUCGUCAUCAUCAUCAUGUCUGUUGUUGAACUUUCUUUAACUUAUUCAGGAGAAAAUGCUGACAGUUUCAAACAAUAUAUAGCCCAUAACGUCGUAACCGAACUUACCCAAUAUAAGAUUAAAAUAUACAAACCAAUACUAAUUGUCUAGUCAAUAAAAGAACAAACGAAAAAGAAAAGAAAACCCAGCUUCCAUGCUAACCACUGAGAUCAGAUAUCAUCAUAUCAAUGAGAGGCCGGCCAGCAGCCAUCAUCACCACGGCUCCCGCCUCCGCCACCGCCACCAUCACCACCACCACUGGCAAAUUGGUCUCCAUCAUAAUUAUUCAUGUCCAUGCAGAGAAGCCAUUGCUACAACUGCCAGCUUUUGAAGAUUCAACUUGAUAACAGUGUCUACAAACAUCUUUGUAUCCUCGCCAGUAUUCCCCUCUGGUAUAUCCACUGUAUAAGAUUCCAAAACAAUUGUGUAAACCUUCCCUUCUUUGCUGAACUCAUUAACAGAUGUGACAGACCGAUAAUUAUUUAGCCUAUGCUCACCCCCAACCACCCUAAAGCUUAAAAUAUGCUUCUCAUCAUCCAAAAUUUCUAGCCUUUCAGUGCUCGUAGAAGCCGGUAGCCCAGAAACUACUGUAACCUCUCUUAUGCUGCCUAUACCACCAGUGCCUUUCAUGUUGCAACUCUUGAUGAAGUGCUUGUAUUUUUGUGGGUUUUCAAAGCUGCGAAUGAAAGGCCACACAACUUGAGCUGGUGCAUCAAUGCGUUGCGUUAUUAGGGAAGUGCAUGUGUUGGGUGACGGCUCAAAUUUGUGGUAUGUGUCUAUCAAGGUCUUCAGCUCUGCAUAUUCUUCUUGGCUCAGGCCUUGAAAAGGUGGGGCUUGGCUAGGUUCCAUGAAGGAUGAGUUAGGGUUAGGACCUAUAUAUCGUUUCUCUAUUUGGUGCUCAAAGCAAAUUUAACAUGCAAGAGUAUGGAGGAGAAGAAAAAGAACAGCAAUGAAGAAAAAUGGGUUCAUCUGAUUGAGGGCACGAUAGAUAGAGAUAGGU